CAGACAAUUAGACAAUUAGCUGGAUGGCCGUAUCGUCCGUGUUUGAUGAAAUCGACCCCACUGAUAUCGCCAAAUCAUCUGGUGAUGAAGAAACAUCGUUGACUGCUUAUAGGAUUUCGGAGGACGAUCUCAUCUUAGUCUUAUGGAGUUGCUGGAAGGUGUUGAUCAUCAAUUCAAAAACCUUUGGUGGCUUCUUAAGAGAUCUAUGAUGGAUUGUUUGAAAAUUUACACUCCUUAUCCCCCAUGAACUUGUUCACAACGCGAAGAUUCUUGCCGAAUAUAUAUAAACCAAGAACAAAACUAUCAUGUUCAUUCGCGCUCCAA